rnacentral:rRNA from 1 species
CCAAUAGCGUAUAUUAAAGUUGUUGCAGUUAAAAAGCUCGUAGUUGAACUUCGGGGUCUACCCAUUGGUCAGGCUUAAUUGUCUGUACUGGUGAGAUGGAUCUCUACCUUCUGAGGAACUUUCAUGCCAUUUAUUUGGUGUGGUUGGAAAUCAGGACUGUUACUUUGAAAAAAUUAGAGUGUUUAAAGCAGACUAUCGUCUGAAUACAUUAGCAUGGAAUAAUGAAAUAGGACGGACUGAUUCUAUUUCGUUGGUUUCUAGGAUCACCGUAAUGAUUAAUAGGGAUAGUUGGGGGCAUUAGUAUUCAAUUGUCAGAGGUAAAAUUCUUGGAUUUAUUGAAGACUAACUACUGCGAAAGCAUUUGCCAAGGAUGUUGUCAUUAAUCAAGAACGAAAGUUAGGGGAUCGAAGACGAUCAGAUACCGUCGUAGUCUUAACCAUAAACUAUGCCGACUAGGAAUCAGACAAAGUUCAUUUUUUAACGACUUGUUUGGUACCUUACG